AGGGAAUCUUCCGCAAUGGACGAAAGUCUGACGGAGCAACGCCGCGUGAGUGAUGAAGGUUUUCGGAUCGUAAAGCUCUGUUGCCAGGGAAGAACGUCCAUUAGAGUAACUGCUAACGGAGUGACGGUACCUGAGAAGAAAGCCCCGGCUAACUACGUGCCAGCAGCCGCGGUAAUACGUAGGGGGCGAGCGUUGUCCGGAAUUAUUGGGCGUAAAGCGCGCGCGGGCGGCUGUUUCAGUCUGGUGUUUAAUCCUGGGGCUCAACCCCGGGUCGCACUGGAAAUUGGACAGCUUGAGUGCAGAAGAGGAGAGUGGAAUUCCACGUGUAGCGGUGAAAUGCGUAGAGAUGUGGGGGAACACCAGUGGCGAAGGCGACUCUCUGGGCUGUAACUGACGCUGAGGCGCGAAAGCGUGGGGAGCAAAC
rnacentral:rRNA from 1 species